GGUUGUAUCGGUUCGAUUGGGAUACUCAUCAAAUUAAAUUGAAAACCGAGAAUGUUUCUCUUGUUGAUGGCGGGCCACAUAAAGCGCUUGGCGCCUAAGCAUUAUGCCGGUGGAUUACAAAGACGGAGAACACUCACCUCUUUUAUAGAAGGAGUUUUCAUCACAUCAUCGUUACGAUCCCCUUU
rfam:Bacteroidales bacterium KA00344 genomic scaffold Scaffold233, whole genome shotgun sequence.